AUUGAACGCUGGCGGCAUGCCUUACACAUGCAAGUCGAACGGCAGCGGGGGAGAAGCUUGCUUUUCCUGCCGGCGAGUGGCGAACGGGUGAGUAAUACAUCGGAACGUGCCCUGUAGUGGGGGAUAACUAGUCGAAAGAUUAGCUAAUACCGCAUACGACCUGAGGGUGAAAGUGGGGGACCGCAAGGCCUCAUGCUAUAGGAGCGGCCGAUGUCUGAUUAGCUAGUUGGUGGGGUAAAGGCCUACCAAGGCGACGAUAAGUAGCUGGUCUGAGAGGACGCGAGGACGCACUGGGACUGAGACACGGCGCGCACUCCUACGGGAUGCAGCAGUGGGGAAUUGUGAACAAUGACGGAAAGCCUGUUGCAUCAGUGCCGCGGGUGUAAAGAAGGUAUUCGGAUUGUAAAACACUUUUGUCCGAAAGUAAAUGUCUCUAGUUAAUACCUGGGGUCGAUGACGGUACGGGAAGAAUAAGGACCGGCUAACUACGUGCCAGACGCCGCCGGAA
rnacentral:rRNA from 1 species